UACUUAGUAAGGGCCUUAGACUUUCCUGCCCGCUUGAAGUGCCUUUUGGGUCAAUUACAUAGCUCACCUGCAAAAUAAGAUGUCAAAUAUACUAUCACAUAACCAUCCCAAAGGAUAAACCAGGAUCACCAAACACACAAUACUACCACAGAUCUCACUGCACAUGUGGAAGAAGACAUGACCAAAGCAGUAUCACUCUUCCUUCAAUGCCACGCAAAAUGUCACUUAUUUGUUCUGAACUAUCUAUUCCAGUGAUCUUGCAGGAGCUGCAAAAAGAUCGAUCACAAACAGUUAAAACAUUUGUUUGAAAGGAAAUUAGGAUAAGCUUCCUAGUGCUCAAGCCAUUGCAGUAACAAUGAAUGCAAUGAGAAACCUAAGAAAAAUUGGGUGGACUUGUUUAGAACCAGAGAGUAGUAGCACAAACAUCAUCCCAAUUAUAAAAACAGUUAUCCGUCACGAACAGUGAAACAUUUGUUGGUAAGGAAAGCAGGAUAAGCUUCCUAGUGCUGAAGCCAUUGCAGUAACAAUGAAUGCAAUGAGAAAUUCUAAGAAAAAACGGUUAUUGUUAUUUUUAUGCCAUUUUGUAUUUAUAAUUAGUUGGAUGAAUCACAUACAUAGAAACGUACCUAAUAAGCCUAGCUUUGGCUGCAGCACAGUCAGCCCCUCCAUCCUUCUUAUCAACGUCAUUAACAAAAAGCUUCUUUGUAGGCCUCCUUGUAGGUGAUGUGCACGAC
rnacentral:lncRNA from 1 species